rnacentral:rRNA from 1 species
UACAGAGGUCCCAAGUGUUGUUCGGAUUCACUGGGCGUAAAGGGUGCGUAGGUGGUGAGGUAAGUCGGAUGUGAAAGCUCGGAGCUCAACUCCGAAAUGGCAUUGGAAACUACCUUGCUCGAGGGUUGGAGGGGGGACUGGAAUACUUCGUGUAGCAGUGAAAUGCGUAGAUAUCAAGUGGAACACCAGUGGCGAAGGCGAGUCCCUGGACAACUCCUGACACUGAGGCACGAAAGCUAGGGGAGCAAACAGG